rnacentral:tRNA from 1 species
AACAAACUAGGUUAAUUAGAUUGUCUGUCUUCAAAACAGGAGGUGACUUUGUCGUUUGUUGC